GAGCCUUGCUGGAGGAAAUGUGUCACUGGGGAUUGCCUUUGGAGUUUCAUAGCCCAGGCCCACUUGCCACACUCAGCUC
rnacentral:miRNA from 1 species